rnacentral:rRNA from 1 species
CGCCCUUAGAGUUUGAUCAUGGCUCAGGACGAACGCUGGCGGCGUGCCUAAUACAUGCAAGUCGAACGCAGCUUGCUUUGGUAAGAUGAGUGGCGAACGGGUGAGUAACACGUGGGUAACCUGCCUAUCAGAGGGGGAUAACACUUGGAAACAGGUGCUAAUACCGCAUAGAUUUCUUUCGCAUGAAAAGAGAGGAAAGACGUACGUGUCACUGAUAGAUGGACCCGCGGUGCAUUAGCUAGUUGGUGAGGUAACGGCUCACCAAGGCCAUGAUGCAUAGCCGACCUGAGAGGGUGAUCGGCCACACUGGGACUGAGACACGGCCCAGACUCCUACGGGAGGCAGCAGUAGGGAAUCUUCGGCAAUGGACGAAAGUCUGACCGAGCAACGCCACGUGAGUGAAGAAGGUUUUCGGAUCGUAAAACUCUGUUGUUAG